GUAGGGAAUAUUGGACAAUGGGGGGAACCCUGAUCCAGCCAUGCCGCGUGGAGGAAGACUGCCCUCUGGGUUGUAAACUCCUUUUAUAUGGGAAGAACCGUCCUCAUUAAUGAGUGACCUGACGGUACCAUAGGAAUAAGCACCGGCUAACUCCGUGCCAGCAGCCGCGGUAAUACGGAGGGUGCAAGCGUUAUCCGGAUUCACUGGGUUUAAAGGGUGCGUAGGCGGAUAAAUAAUUCAGUGGUGAAAUCAACGGGCUCAACCUGUUAACUGCCAUUGAUACUGUGUAUCUUGAAUAUGAGAGAGGUAGGCGGAAUGUUGCAUGUAGCGGUUAAAUGCUUAGAUAUGCUACGGAACACCGAUUGCGAAGGCAGCUUACUAUUUCGUAAUUGACGCUGAGGCACGAAAGCGUGGGUAGCGAACAGGAUUAGAAACCCGGGUAGUCC
rnacentral:rRNA from 1 species